CUAAUGUUUGCAUAGGAUGAAAACCUGGUCAUAUUAAUUUUUCUGAGAAAAUAAUCUCAAAUGAAAAAUCACUUCCCUAAAGCAUUAUUUGUUUUUAUAUCAGAUUUAUUUCAGUUCAACCAACAUUGCACGCUCUAAGUAUUAGAUAUUGUGAUUGGUCCUGGGAAUGCUAAGAUAAAAAUUUCUCCUUUUCUAACCUUGAAUUCACAGAGAGGUAGAAGCAAGAGAAGCAUAAACAUAUAAUUUCAAUGCAAUAUGGUCACAAAGCCUACUGCCUGCUAAUCAGCAAGUGGACCUGUUUCUCUAACAAUGGCCCGAAACUUCACAACAUCAAAGGAGAAAUCAUUGCCAGCAAAAGCAUUUCCGGGUAGUAGGAAAGAAUACAAGUGAAUAACAUUAGUCCAGAAGUUUUAAUAAUAUUCUUUGCUGGUUGAAAUUCAUGUUUAAUAUGAUGUAAAUUACUUGAUAAGCAAAUUAAGAACUAUGCUACUACAGACUCCAAAUAAGACGCAAGAAAAAUGAGAGGAAAUACAUUAAAGGAAAAUCUUAAAAAAACAGCUGCACAGAAGAUAAAUUAUUUUUCCAGGAGUUUUAAACAUAGUUGCUUUUGUUUGUUUGCUUUGCUGUUUUUUCUUAAUAAUUGUUUUAGUAAGCUCAGGCUGCUAUAUAAAAAUAAGAUAGGCGCUGGUCUGAACAAUAGACAUUUAUUUCUUAUAGUUCUUGAACCUGGCAAGUCUGAGGAGGGUCAUCUUCUGGGCUUUCAAAGGGCUGCCUUUUUCCUAUGUACGUACAUAGUGAAUAGAAAGCGUUAGCUCUCUGGUCUCUUCCUGUAAGAGCACUAAUCCCAUCAUGAAGACCCCAUCCUUAUGGGCUCAUCUAAACCUAAUUACUUCCAAAGGUCCCACCUCCAAAUGCUAACACAUUGAGAGUUAAGGCUUCAAUAUAUUAAUUUUGGGGAAACAAGACACAGUCCAUAUCAAAUAUAUAUAUAUAUAAUAUAUAUGUAUAAUAUAUAUGUAUACUAUAUAUGUAUAUAAUAUGUAUGUAUAAUAUAUAUACAAAUAUAUAUAAUAUAUAUUACAUAUACCCAAAUAUAUAUAUUAUAUAUAUUUGUAUAUAUAUUAUAUAUAUUUGUAUAUAUAUUAUAUAUAUUUGUAUAUAUAUUAUGUAUGUUAUGUAAUACAACUAUAUACACUCUAAAAAGGCAGUGGAAUAUAGACAUACUUCAAUUGAUUGUGCUUUGCUUCACUUGGCUUCACAGAUAAUGUGUUUUACACAAAUUGAAGGUUUAUGACCACCCUGCAUCAAGCAACUUUAUUGGCACCACUUUGUAAUAGCAUGUGUUCAUUUGUAUCUCUGUGCCAUAUCUAGGUAAAUCUCACAAUAUUUCAAACUUUUUAACUAUAAUUAUAUUUGAUAUGAUAAUCUGUAACCAGUGACCUUUGGUGUUACUAUUGUAAUUGUUUUGGGCACCAUGAACCACAUCCAUAUAAGACAAUGAAUUUAAUCAAUAAAUGUGUGUGUUCUGACUGCUCCACCAACUUAGACAAUUAGUUUUAGAUUUUUUUUUUUUUUUUUUUUUUUUUUUUUUUUGAGACGGAGUCUCGCUCUGUCGCCCAGGCCGGACUGCG
rnacentral:lncRNA from 1 species